AUUGAACGCUGGCGGCAGGCCUAACACAUGCAAGUCGAGCGGAUGAAGGGAGCUUGCUCCUGGAUUCAGCGGCGGACGGGUGAGUAAUGCCUAGGAAUCUGCCUGGUAGUGGGGGAUAACGUCCGGAAACGGGCGCUAAUACCGCAUACGUCCUGAGGGAGAAAGUGGGGGAUCUUCGGACCUCACGCUAUCAGAUGAGCCUAGGUCGGAUUAGCUAGUUGGUGGGGUAAAGGCCUACCAAGGCGACGAUCCGUAACUGGUCUGAGAGGAUGAUCAGUCACACUGGAACUGAGACACGGACCAGACUCCUACGGGAGGCAGCAGUGGGGAAUAUUGGACAAUGGGCGAAAGCCUGAUCCAGCCAUGCCGCGUGUGUGAAGAAGGUCUUCGGGUUGUAAAGCACUUUAAGUUGGGAGGAAGGGCAGUAAGUUAAUACCUUGCUGUUUUGACGUUACCAACAGAAUAAGCACCGGCUAACUUCGUG
rnacentral:rRNA from 1 species